UACAGAGGGUGCGAGCGUUAAUCGGAAUUACUGGGCGUAAAGCGCGCGUAGGCGGCUUUGCAAGCCGGAUGUGAAAUCCCCGGGCUUAACCUGGGAACUGCAUUCGGGACUGCAUUGCUAGAGUAUGGGAGAGGGAAGUGGAAUUUCAGGUGUAGCGGUGAAAUGCGUAGAUAUCUGAAGGAACAUCAGUGGCGAAAGCGACUUCCUGGACCAAUACUGACGCUCAUGUGCGAAAGCGUGGGGAGCAAAC
rnacentral:rRNA from 1 species